AAGACUCGAGUCGGUUGCUUGCACCUGAUCCUAUACGCGAAUCCCUUGAUAUACUGCCAGUAGCCAAGGCUGAUACAAAGCUGCUGCUGCUGUCUGGGUUAUCUUAUGUAGGGCCUAAGCUAAGCUAGGUCUAAGCGUAGUCCACAGCGACCCAUUAGGAUCUUUAUGCUCCAUUUUUUUAUUCCCUAUCAUCCAAAAAAAUCCUAUCCAUUAGGUGAAUUAAGCGUCUGAGUGAAAGCCUUCUAAGUCUUCUGAUGCCGGAUAUGCUGACCCAAGCAGACCCAUCCUUACAGUAUUGAUUCAUGGACCCCACAUGUAUUCCACAUGCUCGAGAGCUGUCUUCUGUUGUUAGGCCCAUUUUGUGGGACAUGUGGUUCGUUCCAUAAUGCCCAGUUUGCGUACCAGUAAUUGCUUGGAAUUAGGUAACUUUUAUUUCCGCUUAAUGAGUUUUCUCCAUGACCCUGUGUUUCCCUUUAGGAAUGAUUUGGAGAUGCUUAUCUUAUAUCGUUGGAGCUUUCCCAUUCAGCACUGUGCUUCUUGGAUAUGGCCAUUUUAUGGCCAUAAGGUAUGCCGUUAGAUUAUAAAGGUAAGUAUCAGUUCUGACCCAAUAGGUAUCGCCUCUGACCCUAGUUUCGCUAGACUGUCGGCUCUCCCAUUGCAUUUGAUCCGUGUAUGUCCAGGUAUCCCACAUCAGGGACACUUUCAUGCCUUCCGAGUUUGUUCAUCUUUAAGAUUGCAUCUAGAAUAAUUCUAGACUCAACCUUCACUGAGGCGAUGGCUUUUUGUUUGAGUGCUGCCUGGCUGUGGAUCAGGAUGUAAAUAUUGCGUUUUUUACACCCCUGUUCUUUAGUGCACACAUAUUAUAGCGUAGAAUUCA